AACCAUAGAAACCUGCGGAGUACCUGCGGAAGGAUCAUUACACAAUACAAUAUGAAGGCUGUCCGCAGCUGGAGUAUUUUAUUACCCUUGUCUUUUGCGCACUUGUUGUUUCCUGGGCGGGUUCGCUCGCCACCAGGACCACCAAAUAAACCUUUUUUAUGCAGUUGCAAUCAGCGUCAGUACAAACAAUGUAAAUCAUUUACAACUUUCAGCAACGGAUCUCAGAUCGGAAGAGCACAC
rnacentral:misc_RNA from 1 species